AUUGAACGCUGGCGGCAGGCCUAACACAUGCACAUAGAGCUGAGCUGCGGACGGGUGAGUAAUGACUAGGAAUCUGCCUGGUAGUGGGGGAUAACGUCCGGCAACGGGCGCUAAUACCGCAUACUAUCAGAUGAGCCUAGUUCGGAUUAGCUAGUUGGUGUGGUAAAGGCCUACCACGGCGACGAUCGGUAACUGGUCUGAGAGGAUGCUCAGUCCGAUUGGAACGUAGACACGGUCCAGACUCCUACUGGAGGCAGCAGUGGGUAAUAUGGGAAAAGUGGCGAAAGCCUGAUCCAGCCAUGCCGCGUGUGUGAAGAAGGUCUUCGGAUUGUAAAGCACUUUAAGUUGGGAGGGUUUACCACCUCAAUAAGCACCGGCUAACUUCGUGCCAGCAGCCGCGGUAAUAC
rnacentral:rRNA from 1 species